ACACCAAACAUGCAGCCUGGACUCAGACACUCACAAACACACACAUCCCAAUGAAUCAAUGUCUCUUGUGUAGAGAGAGCGAGAGAAAGAGAGCUGUCAUUCAUUUAUUAAGGGGCCUAUUGUAACCCGUCACCCCCAUCAGUCUCCAAAUCCCCGUCUUCAAGCUGUGAGGGCCUCAGACAUUGCUUCUUCCACUCUGGCUCUCCAUGGCCUUCCAGGUUUUAGGGACUCACCGAGAGGUCGACAGGGCUCCUCUCCUGUAGAGGGCGUCACCGAGAGGUCGACAGGGCUACUCUCCUGUAGAGGGCGUCACCGAGAGGUCGACAGGGCUACUCUCCUGUAGAGGGCGUCACCGAGAGGUCGACAGGGCUCCUCUCCUGUAGAGGGCGUCACCGAGAGGUCGACAGGGCUACUCUCCUGUAGAGGGCGUCACCGAGAGGUCGACAGGGCUCCUCUCCUGUAGAGGGCGUCAACCGAGAGGUCGACAGGGCUACUCUCCUGUAGAGGGCGUCACCGAGAGGUCGACAGGGCUCCUCUCCUGUAGAGGGCGUCACCGAGAGGUCGACAGGGCUCCUCUCCUGUAGAGGGCGUCACCGAGAGGUCGACAGCGCUCCUCUCCUGUAGAGGGCGUCACCGGGAGGUCGACAGCUCUCAUUUUCUGUAGAAUGCGUCAUGGGGAGGUAGACAGCGCUCAUCUUCUCCCGAGAGCGGCACGAGCGGGAUUCAGAGAUACAGCUACCAGUGAAGCAAGGACCUCUGGGAUGGUUACGAUUCACCUGAACGGGACAGAGUUCCCUGGUUGAUGGUACAUGAAACUGUCCAUUGUCAGUGUGUGGCGGUAGCUCCAGCACCAGUCCGUCGUAAUGACCAGGUUUACACCAGUUCUCUGCUUUGAAGUUCAGGGUGAGGGAUCCGGAUCUGCACUUUUAGCCGAUUUUGUAAUUUUAUCACUGACAUACUGACUAAUUAUGGUGCAUUGUCGGGAAACGUUUGUUGGUGUGAAAAGAGUCUCUGGCUCAUUAACAUAUUUUAAAGCGUGUCUUGUAUAAUCCAAAUUUGGGGCACCCGUUAGUGAGAGUUCUGUAGCAAUUAUUAUUCAUGUAUAUAUUAUAAUAUUAUUA